AACGAACGCUGGCGGCAUGCCUAACACAUGCAAGUCGAACGAGACCGUCCUGUCUAUGUGGGCACCUGGGCGUGACGCGUGGGAACUUACCCGUAAGUACCCUAUCACUCACCUUAGGGUAUCCUAAGACCACAGAGGCUAUUCGCGCAAAAGAGUUAUCGCGGUUGGGUGGGGGCUCGUUGGUUUCGCUGGUUGGUAGGGUAAAAGCCUGCCAAGGGCACGUUCCAUAGCUGGUCGGAGAGGAUGAUCUUCCACGCUGGGACUGAGACACGGCCCAGACUCCUACGGGAGGGAGCAGUGGGGAAUAUUGGACAAUGGGCGAAAGCGUGACAAAGCAAUGCCGCGUGAGUGAUGAAGGCGUUAGGGUUGUAAAGCUCUUUUACACGGGAUGAUAAUGACAGUACCGGGAGAAUAAGCACCGGCUAACUCCGUG
rnacentral:rRNA from 1 species